rnacentral:rRNA from 1 species
UACGUAGGGGGCAAGCGUUGUCCGGAAUCAUUGGGCGUAAAGAGCGUGUAGGCGGUUCGGUAAGUCUGCUGUGAAAGUCCAGGGCUCAACCCUGGAAAGCCGGUGGAUACUGUCGGACUAGAGUGCGGAAGAGGCGAGUGGAAUUCCCGGUGUAGCGGUGAAAUGCGCAGAUAUCAGGAAGAACACCCGUGGCGAAGGCGGCUCUCUGGGACGGUACUGACGCUGAGACGCGAAAGCGUGGGGAGCGAACAGG